AUUUGAGUGUUCUCACAAGGGCAAGUAACUCAGUGAUUUGAACUCUGGUGCCUGGUAAGAGAGGCAUAUUCUCAGUAAUAUAAUUCAAAGGGACUACUGCAUACCCUAACUUUGGUGUUUCUUGUUUUAGGAAAAAGCUCCAUUUCUACAUUUACUAAGGGAGUUUCUUUGAGGUCCUCUCUGGCUGUGUCAGUGGCUGUGUUCAACAGGUGUUGCUCAUGACAGUUGGGGUGUUCCUCAGAGGCAUCCUUGAUGUGGCUGCAACUGGGGGAUCCUCGGGAUCCUCACGGAGUCUCUUCCUUGGCAUCUGGCUCAUGAUAAGGUU
rnacentral:lncRNA from 1 species